rnacentral:tRNA from 1 species
GCCGAGCAGGCAGCAAGCUGUAGACUUGUUCACGGGGGGGCCGCCCCCCCCCCG